GACGAACGCUGGCGGCGUGCUUAACACAUGUAAGUCGAACGAUGAACCCGGAGCUUGCUCAGGUGGAUUAGUGGCGAACGGGUGAGUAACACGUGAGUAACCUGCGCCUGACUCGGGACUACCUGGGGGAAACUGUAGCUAAUACCGGAUACGACCCUGUGCGGCAUGGCCAGGGGGGGGAAAGAAUUUCGGUCAAGGAUGGACUCGCGGCCUAUCAGCUAGUUGGUGAGGUAACGGCUCACCAAGGCGACGACGGGUAGCCGGCCUGAGAGGGUGACCGGCCACACUGGGACUGAGACACGGCCCAGACUCCUACGGGAGGCAGCAGUGGGGAAUAUUGCACAAUGGGCGCAAGCCUGAUGCAGCAACGCCGCGUGAGGGAUGACGGCCUUCGGGUUGUAAACCUCUUUUAGUAGGGAAGAAGCGAAAGUGACGGUACCUGCAGAAAAAGCACCGGCUAACUACGUGCCAGCCGCCGCAGUAA
rnacentral:rRNA from 1 species